GCUGGAAUAUCUCAGUUGGUUAGAGCGUGUGGCUGUUAACCACAAAGUCCGGAGGUUCAAGCUCUCCUUCUAGCG
rnacentral:tRNA from 1 species